GUAGUCGUGGCCGAGAGGCUAAGGCGAUGGACUCGAAAUCCAUUGGGGUUUCCCCGCGCAGAUUUGAGCCCUGCCGACUACG